ACACGACUACAUUAGAUACCCGCGUAGUCCUAGCCGUAAACGAUACUCGCUAGGUGUCGGCCACGGUGCGACCGUUGUCGGUGCCGUAGGGAAGCCGUGAAGCGAGCCACCUGGGAAGUACGGCCGCAAGGCUGAAACUUAAAGGAACUGGCGGGGGAGCACAACAACGGGUGGAGCUUGCGGUUUAAUUGGAUUCAACGCCGGAAAUCUUACCGGGACCGACAGCAACAUGAAGGCCAAGCUGAAGACUUUGCCGGAUUAGCUG
rnacentral:rRNA from 1 species